AGAGAGAGACAUGCGCGCAUAUCAAUAAGCGGAGGAAAAGAAACUAACUAGGAUUCCCUCAGUAACGGCGAGUGAAGCGGGAAGAGCUCAAAUUUGAAAUCUUCAAGGUUCUACCUUGACGAAUUGUAGUUUAAAGAAGUGUUUUCUGUUGGAGUUUUGGUAAAAGUUCUUUGGAAUAGGACAUCAUAGAGGGUGAGAAUCCCGUAUUUGACCAUUACUUUCCAACUUUGUGAUACACUUUCAAAGAGUCGGAUUGUUUGGGAAUGCAGUCCAAAAUGGGUGGUAAAUUUCAUCUAAAGCUAAAUAUCUGGCGAGAGACCGAUAGCGAACAAGUACCGUGAGGGAAAGAUGAAAAGAACUUUGAAAAGAGAGUUAAACAGUACGUGAAAUUGUCAAAAGGGAAGCGUUUGACACCAGUGUUGUUUUCUCGAAAAUCAAUUAAAAAAGGCAGGAUUUUGUGUUGUAUUGACUUUAUCAGCUUUCUGCACUCUUUUCUUGUCUUUUUUAAUGCACUUUUCGUUUAACAAGUCAACAUCAAUUUCUUUUGUUGUAAAAGGGUCAUUGGAAGGUGGCUUUCUUUUCGGAGAAAGUGUUUAUAGCCUUUGGCCUCUGCAAUCGGAGAGAUUGAGGUCUGCAGCGUAGAUCCUUCGGGGUUAGAUACAUUUGUGCUAAGUUAUAGCCUUUUCAUAGACAACUUGUUGACUAUGAUCAGUCAUGUAGCUUACUCGCUUAUGCUAUUUUACCUACGCUUAGGAUGUUGAUGUGAUACUGCGAGCA
rnacentral:rRNA from 1 species